rnacentral:rRNA from 1 species
CAGCCGCCGCGGGAAUACGAAGGGGGCUAGCGUUGUUCGGAAUUACUGGGCGUAAAGCGCACGUAGGCGGACAUUUAAGUCAGGGGUGAAAUCCCGGGGCUCAACCCCGGAACUGCCUUUGAUACUGGGUGUCUAGAGUAUGGAAGAGGUGAGUGGAAUUCCGAGUGUAGAGGUGAAAUUCGUAGAUAUUCGGAGGAACACCAGUGGCGAAGGCGGCUCACUGGUCCAUUACUGACGCUGAGGUGCGAAAGCGUGGGGAGCAAACAGGAUUAGAUACCCCCGUAGUCCCUGUCUCUUAUAU